rnacentral:rRNA from 1 species
GAUGAACGCUGGCGGCGUGCUUAACACAUGCAAGUCGAACGAAGCACUUUAACCUGAUUCUUCGGAUGAAGGUUUUUGUGACUGAGUGGCGGACGGGUGAGUAACGCGUGGGUAACCUGCCUCAUACAGGGGGAUAACUGUUAGAAAUGACUGCUAAUACCGCAUAAGACCACAGAGCCGCAUGGCUCGGUGGGAAAAACUCCGGUGGUAUGAGAUGGACCCGCGUCUGAUUAGGUAGUUGGUGGGGUAACGGCCUACCAAGCCAACGAUCAGUAGCCGACCUGAGAGGGUGACCGGCCACAGUGGGACUGAGACACGGCCCAAACUCCUACGGGAGGCAGCAGUGGGGAAUAUUGCACAAUGGGGGAAACCCUGAUGCAGCGACGCCGCGUGAGCGAAGAAGUAUUUCGGUAUGUAAAGCUCUAUCAGCAGGGAAGAAAAUGACGGUACCUGACUAAGAAGCACCGGCUAAAUACGUG